CCACAAUCGGCCUCUCUUGCCAUUUCCGCUCAUGUCGUAUGUGCCUCUUGUGUGUGGCCCAGCACUAACGCGAGGAGGUCACCUUCGGCGCACAGACAGCGCCGCACGGUGGCCACGCGCAUGAUGUGACGCAUCCCUUAGCACUCGAGUGAAGUUAGCCCUUCAAUCGGAUCCAUUCACAUGAGCGACUGCUUUCAGUUCCGUUUCAAGUUCAAGCCUUGGCUGACGCGGCACCCUCUCGCUCCGCCGCCUCCUCCGCCUACCGCUGCUGUGUGCUUGCACGCUUGUGUGUGUGUGUGUGUGUGUGUGUGUGUGCACGACUGCCGCGCACACCGCGCGUGUCCGCAACGAAUGAUGGCCUUUCCUCGACCGCUGUCUCCGCUGCUUUUUGCGCCACAUAGACGAUCACCGCGCGUGUGCGCACGCGUGUGUGUGCGUUGGUCGAACAAAACGCAUCAGAGAGUGUGUGAUCGGCGAGGAACGACCCCGUGCAAGCGGGGCGUGUGUCUGUGUGUGUCUGUGUGUGUGUGUGUGUGUCUGUGUCUGUGUAUCUGCGUAUGUGUGUGUGGCUGGUGCGCCCCUACCGCACACGCGCACGUGCCUGUGUAAGCAGACUGUGCAGAGCUCUGCAUCCGUUGUGCAGUCUGUGAUAGCAGCGACGGAGAUGCGGCGUGCGUAUGUGGGCGUGUGGGUGCGAGCGAGGAGAGCACGAGGAGGGUGUGCGUGCGCACGGUGGCCACGCGCAUGAUGUGACGCAUCCCUUAGCACUCGAGUGAAGUUAGCCCUUCAAUCGGAUCCAUUCACAUGAGCGACUGCUUUCAGUUCCGUUUCAAGUUCAAGCCUUGGCUGACGCGGCACCCUCUCGCUCCGCCGCCUCCUCCGCCUACCGCUGCUGUGUGCUUGCACGCUUGUGUGUGUGUGUGUGUGUGUGCACGACUGCCGCGCACACCGCGCGUGUCCGCAACGAAUGAUGGCCUUUCCUCGACCGCUGUCUCCGCUGCUUUUUGCGCCACAUAGACGAUCACCGCGCGUGUGCGCACGCGUGUGUGUGCGUUGGUCGAACAAAACGCAUCAGAGAGUGUGUGAUCGGCGAGGAACGACCCCGUGCAAGCGGGGCGUGCGUCUGUGUGUGUGUGUGUGUGUGUCUGUGUGUGUGUGUGUGUCUGUGUGUGUGUCUGUGUGUGUGUGUGUGUGUCUGUGUGUGUGUGUGUGUGUCUGUGUGUGUGUGUGUGUCUGUGUCUGUGUAUCUGCGUAUGUGUGUGUGGCUGGUGCGCCCCUACCGCACACGCGCACGUGCCUGUGUAAGCAGACUGUGCAGAGCUCUGCAUCCGUUGUGCAGUCUGUGAUAGCAGCGACGGAGAUGCGGCGUGCGUAUGUGGGCGUGUGGGUGCGAGCGAGGAGAGCAC
rnacentral:misc_RNA from 1 species